AGUGAACGCUGGCGGUAGGCCUAACACAUGCAAGUCGAACGGCAGCACAGUAAGAGCUUGCUCUUACGGGUGGCGAGUGGCGGACGGGUGAGGAAUACAUCGGAAUCUACUUUUUCGUGGGGGAUAACGUAGGGAAACUUACGCUAAUACCGCAUACGACCUACGGGUGAAAGCAGGGGAUCUUCGGACCUUGCGCGAUUGAAUGAGCCGAUGUCGGAUUAGCUAGUUGGCGGGGUAAAGGCCAACCAAGGCGACGAUCCGUAGCUGGUCUGAGAGGAUGAUCGCCCACACUGGAACUGAGCCACGGUCAUGACUCCUACGGGAGGCAGCAGUGGGGAAUAUUGGACAAUGGGCGCAAGCCUGAUCCAGCCAGACCGCGUGGGUGAAGAAGGCCUUCGGGUUGUAAAGCCCUUUUGUUGGGAAAGAAAAGCAGCAGGUUAAUACCCCGCUGUUCUGACGGUACCCAAAGAAUAAGCACCGGCUAACUUCGUG
rnacentral:rRNA from 1 species